rnacentral:tRNA from 1 species
AGCCCAGUAGUCUAGUGGAUAUGACGCUGGCUUGCGAAGCCAGUGAUCAGGGGUUCAAUCGUCUAAAAAAUUCUUUUAGGAAGAACAUAUCCCCUCUGGGCUA